rnacentral:rRNA from 1 species
UACGGAGGGUGCAAGCGUUAUCCGGAUUCACUGGGUUUAAAGGGUGCGUAGGCGGGCAGGUAAGUCAGUGGUGAAAUCUCCGAGCUUAACUCGGAAACUGCCGUUGAUACUUAUUUGUCUUGAAUAUUGUGGAGGUAAGGCAGGAAUAUGUCAUGUAGCGGUGAAAUGCUUAGAUAUGACAUAGAACACCAAUUGCGAAGGCAGCUUACUACACAACGAUUGACGCUGAGGCACGAAAGCGUGGGGAUCAAACAGG